rnacentral:rRNA from 1 species
UACGGAGGGUGCAAGCGUUAUCCGGAUUCAUUGGGCGUAAAGGGUGCGUAGGUGGCGCCGUAAGUCGGGUGUGAAAUUUCGGAGCUUAACUCCGAAACUGCAUUCGAUACUGCGGUGCUUGAGGACUGGAGAGGAGACUGGAAUUCAUGGUGUAGCAGUGAAAUGCGUAGAGAUCAUGAGGAAGACCAGUGGCGAAGGCGGGUCUCUGGACAGUUCCUGACACUGAGGCACGAAGGCCAGGGGAGCGAACGGG